rnacentral:rRNA from 1 species
AUCCUGGCUCAGGAUGAACGCUGGCGGCGUGCCUAAUACAUGCAAGUCGAACGCACAGCGAAAGGUGCUUGCACCUUUCAAGUGAGUGGCGAACGGGUGAGUAACACGUGGAUAACCUACCUCAAGGUUGGGGAUAACAUUUGGAAACAGAUGCUAAUACCGAAUAAAACUUCGUAUCGCAUGAUACAAGGUUAAAAGGCGCUACGGCGUCACCUAGAGAUGGAUCCGCGGUGCAUUAGUUAGUUGGUGGGGUAAAGGCCUACCAAGACAAUGAUGCAUAGCCGAGUUGAGAGACUGAUCGGCCACAUUGGGACUGAGACACGGCCCAAACUCCUACGGGAGGCUGCAGUAGGGAAUCUUCCACAAUGGGCGAAAGCCUGAUGGAGCAACGCCGCGUGUGUGAUGAAGGCUUUCGGGUCGUAAAGCACUGUUGUAUGGGAAGAACAGCUAGAGUAGGGAAUGACUUUAGUUUGACGGUACCAUACCAGAAAGGGACGGCUAAAUACGUG